CCCUUAGAUGUUCUGGGCCGCACGCGUGCUACACUGAGUGGAUCAGCGGGUCAGGUUGCGCGAAAGUGUUUCCUAAUCUUGAAAUCCGCUCGUGAUGGGGAUUGACGGUUGCAAUUUUCUGUCAUGAACGAGGAAUACCUUGUAAGCGCGGGUCAUCAUCCCGCGCUGAAUACGUCCCUGCCCUUUGUACACACCGCCCGUCGCUCCUACCGAUUGAGUGGUCCGGUGAGGCUUUGGGAUCUGAGCGGAAAGAGCGUUUCGCUGUUUCUGCCCGGAAAACUCAGUCGAACCUUAUCAUUUAGAGGAAGGAGAAGUCGUAACA
rnacentral:rRNA from 1 species